rnacentral:snRNA from 1 species
GUGCUCGCUUCAUCAGCACAUAUACUAAAAAUUGGACCGACACAGAGAAGAUUAACAUGGCCCCUGCGCAAGGAUGACAUGCAAAUUCAUGAAGUGUUCCAUAUUGCA